GGCGGCAGAGAUGGAGGAGAUUCGUCGGAGUCAAUGGUGACAAAGGGAGGAGCGGUGAACUGGUUCGUCAUCGGUUUAUUGUGGACGGCGGUUCAUGCGCCUCGCGUUCGUAUGUACGGACCAUGGUGGGGUGGUGCAAUGGCUUUCUUGGAGGCCUGUUUGGAGUUGUUCUGUUGAAGGUGAAAAAGAAAGGGAAACAAAAGAAAGAAGGUAGAAUUUGAGAAAGAUUUUUAGUUUGUGUUUUUUUUUCUUUCUUUGGUCGGUCAAAUAGGGGGUAAUUGGGUUGUGUGUUUUUUUAGGGUGAAAAGAAAGCUAGGAUGUGAUAGGUGAAAGGAUAGAAUUUGAUGGGUGAAAGUUUUUUUAUGGGGUAGUGGAGUUGUAGUUUUCUAGGUGAAAAGAUAGAUGUGAUAGGUGAAAGCUUGAUGGGUUUUUUUUAUUUGAAAAAGGGUUGGACAGUUAGGGGGAAAAUUUUGGGUCUUAAUUUUUGAUUUUUUUGAUUUUGGGUAGGUAUGAUGGAUUUGGGUUUUGGUUAAUGG
rnacentral:lncRNA from 1 species